GACGAACGCUGGCGGCGUGCUUAACACAUGCAAGUCGAACGGUGAAGGGACCGGUUUUUGCUGGUUCUGGAUGAGUGGCGAACGGGUGAGUAACACGUGAGUAACCUGCCCCCUUCUUCUGGAUAACCGCAUGAAAGUGUGGCUAAUACGGGAUAUUCUGCGCCUGCUGCAUGGUGGGUGUGGGAAAGAUAUUGUUUCGGUGGGGGAUGGGCUCGCGGCCUAUCAGCUUGUUGGGGGGGUGAUGGCCUACCAAGGCGGUGACGGGUAGCCGGCCUGAGAGGGUGGACGGUCACACUGGGACUGAGACACGGCCCAGACUCCUACGGGAGGCAGCAGUGGGGAAUAUUGCACAAUGGGCGCAAGCCUGAUGCAGCGACGCCGCGUGAGGGAUGGAGGCCUUCGGGUUGUAAACCUCUUUCGCCAGUGAAGCAGGCCUGUCCCUUUUGUGGGUGGGUUGACGGUAGCUGGAGAAGAAGCGCCGGCUAACUACGUG
rnacentral:rRNA from 1 species